CCUACGGGUGGCAGCAGUGAGGAAUAUUGGUCAAUGGGCGGAAGCCUGAACCAGCCAAGUCGCGUGAGGGAAUAAGGCCCUACGGGUCGUAAACCUCUUUUGCCGGGGAGCAAGGGCGGGGACGUGUCCCGGCCCGGAGAGUACCCGGAGAAAAAGCAUCGGCUAACUCCGUGCCAGCAGCCGCGGUAAUACGGAGGAUGCGAGCGUUAUCCGGAUUUAUUGGGUUUAAAGGGUGCGUAGGCGGGCUUUUAAGUCAGCGGUAAAAAUUCGGGGCUCAACCCCGUCCGGCCGUUGAAACUGGGGGCCUUGAGUGGGCGAGAAGAAGGCGGAAUGCGUGGUGUAGCGGUGAAAUGCGUAGAUAUCUGGAGGAACAUCAGUGGCGAAGGCGACUAUCUGGCACAUAACUGACGCUGAGGAGCGAAAGCGUGGGUAGCAAACAGGAUUAGAUACCCGGGUAGUC
rnacentral:rRNA from 1 species